rnacentral:rRNA from 1 species
UGGGGAAUAUUGGACAAUGGGCGAAAGCCUGAUCCAGCCAUGCCGCGUGUGUGAAGAAGGUCUUCGGAUUGUAAAGCACUUUAAGUUGGGAGGAAGGGCAGUAAGCGAAUACCUUGCUGUUUUGACGUUACCGACAGAAUAAGCACCGGCUAACUCUGUGCCAGCAGCCGCGGUAAUACAGAGGGUGCAAGCGUUAAUCGGAAUUACUGGGCGUAAAGCGCGCGUAGGUGGUUCGUUAAGUUGAAUGUGAAAGCCCCGGGCUCAACCUGGGAACUGCAUCCAAAACUGGCGAGCUAGAGUAGGGCAGAGGGUGGUGGAAUUUCCUGUGUAGCGGUGAAAUGCGUAGAUAUAUGAAGGAACACCAGUGGCGAAGGCGACCAGCUGGGCUCAUACUGACACUGAGGUGCGAAAGCGUGGGGAGCAAACAGG